CUUUAUUUACCUCAUUUUAUGAUGAAAAAGUCAAUAACAUUUGUCUUGGUUUUUGUUGGUUUCUGGUUGACUUUCAACUCUUCAAUGAACCUCUUUAGUUUAGACACAGGUUAUUGUCUGAUAGUUACAGUUGAACAUUUACACUUUUUUUAACUUUCCUGGUUAAUGAUCAGAACUAUGAUGAAUUUUCAAUAAACUGACCUGAUCCACGAUAAUUAGAUUCAUUGAGGUGUUUAAAUAUUAUGAGAAGACAGUGAAUAACAAAAAAAAACAGUGAGUGGAAACAACUGAAUCGAUUCAUUGAAAACAAGUGAAGGAAGUUACUUUAAGAAAUGGUAAGUUGUGUGUGUAAAAGGUAAGUGUAAAAAAACGGGAAUACUUUUUUACCAUUUUAAAGAUGAAAGGUGAAUUAAGGUCAAAGGUUUGGAGGAAGGUUGGUAGAUAAAGUUAGGUUAAAAAGACGUUAAUUCAAAGUUAAGGUUAAAGUAUAAUUUUACCUACAAUUUAUAGCAAGUUUUACCGUAUAUACAGUAAAAAAAAGGGUGAAAAUAAUACAAUAAAAUGAAUGUUGCUUAAAGAAUCAGUUGGAAAAUGUUUCUCCAACAAUUUUAUCCUUCAUGAUUAUCAUCAUGAUUAACCUUAGACCAUUUUUCAAGUGUUAAUUCAAUUUCAUCAGUUUUUUUAUAAAACAUCUUCUUCAGUCUUUAAUUAAGAAACUAUCCCCCAAGGCUUCCGUUAUGUUACACUUUUUGCUUUGUUUUGAUUUAUUUAUGGUUUCUUUUUGUGUGUUCAGUAUUUCUUAUCUCUACAAAUCUUCUUUUAUUUGAUUCAGUGUAUUAACUAUUUAUAUCAUAACGUUAUGGAAUCUGAUUUACUUAAGGAAAUUCAAGUUAAUCAAGCAAUAGCAAUGAUCCAAAUGAAACCAGCUACUGAUUUAGCCAUCGAUGCAAGGUUGCUAUUUUUCUUCCUCUUCUCCAACCAAGGUCGACACUAUUAUGAGAACCUUAACUCAAUUGGAUAUUAUAAAAGGACUUGAUCAUGAUUUAACCUUUCAUUGUGACCUUAAGGAAUUGUUGAAGACAGUCAUGAUGCUUUGAUUAACUUCUCGCAAUUAUUGUACUGUUAAUGUAGGAAGAGACAGAUUAAGGAAAUGAAUAUGACUAUGAGAAAAACAAAACAAAACAAAAUAAUGACUCAGACAACGUUUAAUUUGUCUAUAUUUUGCCAUUGUUAUCAGGGUUAAUUAUCAAUUCAUUUGGUUAUUUAUACAUAAUAUUUUAUUAUGUUCAACGUGUUGCCUUUUCCGUUUCACCAAAUGUAAUAAUUUCUCAUGGCGUUAAAUUUACUUCAUCUGUCUAUUCAAUUCAUUUUGCUAAUGGGUUGUAACAGUAUAAUUUAACAAUUGAACUAUUGAUUAACGUUGCCUUGAAAAGUGCUAAUUUGGAAACUAAUGCAUAAGCUAAUCAAUAAUCCAGAGUGAACAUCGCCCUGUAACCUUGUUCAAAAAUCAAUGUUCAAUCUUACAUUGAAAACACUGAAAGCUGGGAAUACAAAUUUCAUUGAUCUGCUUUUAAAAUUCGAGCAACAAAACGUUUCGUUUAAAUUCAAGCCAAGAUGAAUUAAACUGUCUUUUUAAUGAGAAUCACAACUUUUUCUAAGAAUUGAUUGUUAAUUACGUUUACGAUUGAAAUGACCUUUAUUCAAUCAAGUUUGAUGGUCACAAUUGGUAAGUUUAUCAAUAGGAAAUCUGACGCACUUUUUUUUCUACCUGCGCUGUUGAUUGAAAUGAACAAUAAUAACAGUAUAAUCACCAUUAAACAUAUAAGAUACAGUUAACACUUGAAACACACAAUCUGACCUUACAUUGUAAAUGUAUAUUCUGAUUAAAAAAACAUUGAAAAUAAACGUAGCAAAAUACACAGCAGGAUCUACAUUCAGUUAAUCACAAUUUAAAUUGAUGAUGAUAGUUGACGAGAGGGCUACAAGGUUAAGUAGCAUUUGCAAAUGGUAAAAAUAUUUUUGGCAAAAUAUUGAAAAAUCUUUGAUGCCUUGCUAAUAGGCUAGUUAUUACCAAGAAUUACGUUUCCAGGUUUACUUGAAUUUUUAUUAUGGCCAAAGUUAAGUUUAUUGUUAAAAAUUGUUGAUAAAGUCCAGGUAAUCAAGAAGAUGCGAUUCGAUGUUGGUUUGCUGAGAAGAGAGUCAUUCUUGAUUUCUGGUUGAUCCUGGUAACUAUUAUGUUCAACAGUUGAUCUUGUAUAUGUGAUUGUUAUGUUGAUUGAUUUUGGUCUCAGUGUUGUUGACCAAAGUCACAAUUUGAUGAUACCAUCAACUGAAUCUUCAUUGCCUUCCAAUGUUCCAAUACUGUCAUCAUCAUCAGGUACCAGGUUAAUCAUGACUGUCCCAAAUCAUUCGGAUCUUGUCAGUAUCACCGGAGCUUUGAUCGUUUUCUCCUUUAUCUCAUCUUGUGUUAUAUUAACUUACAUAAUCAAUGGAUUCAAUCUGCUUUGGGAUAAGAUGAUUCACGGUGAGCUUGUACCUGACUCCAAAAGUGUUUUAUCAUCAUUCAUCACUUUCGCCUUUGGUCUUACCUUCUAUUUAAUUAAUGAGAUCUCAACACUUUACAUUAAUCUGAAGACCGGGUUAACUUCAUGGAUUAGGUGGAAAUCAAAAUCUUCUAGAUGGCCAAUAGCAACAACAUCUAUCUUUAAAAAACGAGUCUAAUCAACAAAAAAAACACACCAAGAAAAAUGCAUCGAUCAACCAAACCAUCACCACCACCAUAAUACUACUACCACUACCACCACCACUUUUAUCAUCACCACCUUUUGUUACUUCUUAAUCUUAAUUUUUUAAUCCGUAUCAAUUUCGCUCAAGAAAACAACCAACAGCAUUUAAUUGUUCAUUUCAAUUAUUUAUUGAAGCAAAUUGAAACACAUUAUGGAUCUUAAUUUUUUUUUAAAAAAAAUCUCAUCUCAAUACAAUACAAUUUCCUCUCGAUUACUUAUUGAGUUUUCGUGAUGAGAGUGAUAUUUUCACCUUUUAACAAUAUUCUCCCAAUUGGUUUCUUUGUCUGUGUUUUGUGAUAAACCUCUUCAGCGUCGUCUAAAACCAGGUUCAUGUAUUCAUCGAAACCAAUGAUGUGCCCCUCAAUGCGAAGAUUAACAUUCUCGUUCAACCAAACUUGAAUCCGAGCGCGAUUCUGUAAAUACCUGAAUAUCAGAUUAAUCGGUUGAACCAUAACUUUCUGAAUUUUUUGAGACGAUGUACCUCCUUUGUAAGACAUUGUUAUUUCAAUAUUUGGUAUGUCUGUCAACAAGAAAAGGAAAUUUGAGUUAAUACAAAGAAAAAUUGUCCAAACAAACAACUAAAUUACUUGUAGUGUUGAAAUUAGAUAAAUUGAAAGAUGUUAAUAUUAACUGUUACAAGAAUACAAACUAAAUUACCAAACACAGUUGAACAAGAAAUUUUAAAAUCAAAUCGGAUUCAUUUUCAACACAACCCAUCGCAAAGCGAAACCUUGGUUACUUGAUGUUACCACAAAGGAAAAGCGCCAAAUUUAUACUCAAAAAGGAAUACAAUUUUCAUCAAAAAAAUUCAUGGAUAAAAUUUUCUUUUAAAAGCAAAAUUAAUUGUUAACUUCAAUUAAAAACUUGUUCAACAGAAAUGAAGAACACUGGAAUAUUGUCUCUAAA